AGUAAAGUCAGCUAAUAUAAGCUUU
rnacentral:tRNA from 1 species